rnacentral:antisense_RNA from 1 species
CUCUAUGGUGGCUGUGUGUGGGAGGGCUUCGGCCCUGCCGGGUUCCUUUUGCCCCGGUCUACCAACCUGCACACAGUCGCCACCCAA